AGCUCCUUCGGGGGGUCCUGCAGGCAUUUCCAGGCCAGCUGUGAGACAUGUACUCCCUAAAGCUAGACUGAGGUCUGCCCUGAGGCCUUCAAUGUGCGUACGAGGAACCAAUCAGAAAUAGAGGCCCAGGCCAGCAUGAUUACCAACUGCGGACCAAUAUGUAAAGCUUGAGGGGAAGCUUUGUCUCCCUUUCUUCCAGGACUUCAACGAGAGAAUUAAAUGUUCUUUUGACCUACCAAACUUGAGAUUGUCUUUGAAUUACACCUCGACUUUUUUUAAUGCCUCUGAUUAGUUGAUUUUUGUGUUUGUAGCUUGUUUUUAUUUCUGUAUUGUCAUUGUCAAGGCUUCUGAAAAUAAAGCACGUUUGUAGUAAUUAA